AGAAGGAUUUUCCACAUUCUAAUUAGGUCACAGCCGCUUCUCUCAUUCAGAAAAUUCUUUGUUCUCUUCUCUCAAUUCUCUUCUCUCAAUUCUCUUCUCUGUAAACUUAAACAGUAAUUUCACCCAGCAAACUUGCGAUUUCGGGAAUCCCUUCACUCCGACGAGUAGGGAAAGGCUAAAGGAAGACUAGUUACUCAUGAUGAGGUAUUUGAGGAAACCCACAUGAAGAAGUUGAAGGAUGGAAAAUCAAGACUAGGGUCGAACCGCGCACUGAGACAACCCAUGAUACUUUCAAACGAAGCUUGGAGAAGUUCAUUCAAAGUCAACCGAUUGAUGAUCAAGGUAGGCCAAUCCAACCAUCCCAAGAGGAGAUCAUGGACAUGCGGAUUAAGGCAGUUGGUGGUGUGAUCAAGGAUUGUCUGGUUUUUAUUCUUUCUCACAUUGCUCGGUUGAUCUGGAUGAGUUUGAGGAAUUGAAUAGGAAGGUAGCGAAGAUUACUGAGUUGUAUCUUCAAGAAAGGGAAGAUGGAAAGCGGAGGGAGGAAGAAGAUAGGCGAAGAGAGGAAGGGGAAAGGCGAAGGGAGGAAGAAAUGAGGCAAAAGGACGAUGCAUUAAGACUUGUCACUAGUGAUGUUAAAAGUCUCAAGUCUCAGAUAAACUCCGUCUUAGCAUUUGGUGCAUUUCAUGUGCCUCGUUCUCCAGCAUUUAAUGAUAAUUAAGGACUAGGAGUAGUUUCUUUUAUUAGCUUGUCUUGGAUGGUACUUGGAUGUUGGAUUUUUUGAGUUUUUGUUCUACUUUUGGAUUAGUUGGAUUAAUUAUGAAAUGGAUUGAUUAGUUGUAGUUUAUGAAAUAAAUUGGAUUGCAUGUUGAAUUUGAUAUUUGAA